GCUCGUAGUUGGAUUCCUGACCUGGGGUAGCCGGUCCGCCUUGCAAAAGGUGCGCACUGAGCGGCCUCGGUCAUCCUUGAGAAGAGCGGUCCUGGCAUUCAGUUGUCGGGGUCGGGAUUCUCGACGUUUACUGUGAAAAAAUCAGAGUGUUCAACGCAGGCUUACGCCUUGAAUACAUUAGCAUGGAAUAAUGAGAUAGGACCUUGGCGGUCUAUUUUGUUGGUUUGCACGCCGAGGUAAUGAUUAAAAGGGACGGUUGGGGUUCUUCGUAUUCAAUUGUCAGAGGUGAAAUUCUUGGAUUUAUGGAAGACGAACUGCUGCGAAAGCGUCGAACAAGGACGUUCUCAUUAAUCAAGAACGAAAGUUAGGGGAUCGAAGAUGAUUAGAUACCAUCGUAGUCUUAACCAUAAACUAUGCCGAUUCAGGAUUGGCGGUCGUUUGUUCUCGACUCCGUCAGCACUGUAUGAGAAAUCAAAAUCUUUGGGUUCCGGGGGGAGUAUGGUCGCAAGGCUGAAACUUAAAGAAAUUGACGGAAG
rnacentral:rRNA from 1 species